rnacentral:lncRNA from 1 species
ACUGUGCCUUACAUAGUAGUUUGUCUAUUAUUAUUCCUCUUGCCAAAUUGAAGCCCUCGAAAGGCAUGGAUUGUGGGGUUUUCAUAUCCUUUCUAUACACCUGGGCCCUAACCCAAUUCCAGAAAAAGUAUGUGAUCUGGAACAUCAAAGGCCUCAUGCAUCUGUCCCCAGGGCCAACAUAAACAGGCCUGUGAGUGGAUGCUUAGAAUGUGGAGUGCAGAGUCUAGAACAGAACUAUGGACAGCAGCUCACAUGAAGUACCCCUAACUCAGAGAGAGGGAGGAAGGAGAUGGGCAUCUCAUCCUGCUGCAGCCAAGCUCAUAGUUACCACAGCAUUGCUGACCAGAGUGGCAUCUAUCCACUGGAAUGGAAUAAAUGAAAGACAUUAGGUAAUCAUCAGUUUCUGACUGUGACCCACAUACUUUAUGCGUUUGUCACCUGUCUCUGGCAUCUGAGGAUGAUGCUGUUGAGGAUGGUUACCACCUACAUGUGCAGUUAGAGCUACAAGUUCUGGUAGGUCUUCAGUUGUUCUUUCUAUGCUAUUGAGUGACUGUCUUUUUUUUUAUUUUUAAGGAUUUUAAUUUUUUCCAUUAUAGUUGGUUUAGAGUGUUCUGUCAAUUUCUACCAUACGCAAAGUGACCUGACACACACACACACACACACACACACAUCUAUAUCUAUAUCUAUAUACUCUUUUUCUUAUAUUAUCCUCUAUCAUGUUCCAUCAUAAGUAACUAGACAUAGUUCCCAGUGCUACACAGCAGGAUCUCCUUGCUAAUCCAUUCCAAAGGCAAUAGUUUGCAUCUAUUAACCCCAGAUUUCAAGUCCAUCCCACUCCCUACCCCUCCUCCUUAGCAACCACAAAGUCCAUGAGUUUCUUUUCUGUGAAAAAGUUUAUUUGUGCCAUAUAUUACAUUCCAGAUAUGUGAUAUCAUAUGGUAUUUGUCUUUCUCUUUCUGACUUACUUCACUCACUAUGAGAGUUUCUAGUUCCAUCCAUGUUGCUGCAAAAGGCGUUAUUUUGUUCUUUUUUAUGACUGAGUAGAAUUCCAUUGUGUAUAUAUAUACCACAUCUUCUUAAUCCAUUCAUCUGUUGAUGGACAUUUAGGUUGUUUCCAUUUCUUGGCUAUUGUGAAUAAUGCUGUGAUGAACAUGCAUGUAUCAUUUCCAAGGAAAGUUUUGUCCAGAUAUAUACCCAAGAGGGGGAUUUCUGGAUUAUAUGGUAGUUCUAUAUUUAGUUUUCUGUGAUACCUCCAUACCG